rnacentral:lncRNA from 1 species
AGUGGAUGGCAAGAAAACUUAAGAAGAAGAACUUCAUGGCUGAAUGGAGUGAAAGUGAGGCGUCAAGUUCGGAAGAAGAAGAUCAAUAAGAGACGACCCAAAUCUGCCAUAUGGCUAAUGACGAUGAGGUAGAUUCUGAACUUGAAUGUGAUUUUACUGUUGAAGAAUUACAUGAUGCAUUUUUAGAACUCAUGGAAGAACACAAAAAACUAAUAAAUAAAAAUAA